rnacentral:lncRNA from 1 species
CUCUCUUGAAUGGCUGCGGUGUCAAUAUUCCCAGUCAGCUAUGUCUUCUGUGCUGUGCAUGUUUGAUUUAAAUUUUACUUAUAUUGUUAUCGCUUUUAGUUUCUUCAUUGCACUUUCAUCUUUGUUGGCCAAUUCUUUCUUUUGAGUAUCUAUUUUCAUGAAAUGUGACAUCGGUUUAUUUCCAGCCGACCAGGAGGCAACACAACUACACACUGUGUGAACUGAACCUCAGAUACCACUGGCCUGUCACCAACAGAUUUUGAAGCAAAUGAUGUGAUUGUUCACCGAUUAUCAGUGCAUCUGUUAUUUACAUAGUGAUUUGUGAACUGACAAGUUAGCAGCAGUUUCUGCUUUAUGCAAUUGUUCUGUUAAUAGACUGUGAUUGUGAAUAUUUGUCACACAGAUAUUUAAAUGGAAUCAGGGCUGUAUAUAACCAUGACAUAAUACUUUGUCAAAAAGUGAAAAGUUAAUCUGGUUGGUCAUCAGUUUCAGAAGGGAGGAUUUUAAAUGGCUUAAAAAUAAUGUAGUCACAUGACUUAAAUUCAAAAGAAGGUAUUUUUACCUGGCAUAUGGAGAAGAUGAUGACAAUAAUGUGGAACUUGAUUAGACAUCAACAGAGACUCAAUGCCUCCUGGAAAACACCUGAGAAAUGAUUGAAGCUCGCUCUGGUCUUGCCUGGAAUCAUGCAUAACAUUUGUUGCUGCCUGCAUGUGGAUUCAUUUUAGCAGUUUAUCAAUUUGGACAGGGAAUUUUGAAUAAAAAAUUUUGGCAGUCAUUAUAGUGACUCUUCUGAGACUGAAAAUUCAGGUAACAAGGAAAAUCAGUGACUCUUUCUCUCUGCUUUCUUCAAAACACAAAUAAUCCAAUGAUGUAUAGGCUGCAUUGCCCUUUGAUUUGUUACCUUAGAGAUCAUUACAUGUUAGUACAUAAAGAAACUUCCCAAUCUUCUUUUAUAGCAUCCAGGUACUCCAAUGUGUA